UACAGAGGUCUCAAGCGUUGUUCGGAUUCAUUGGGCGUAAAGGGUGCGUAGGCGGCGCGGUAAGUCGGGUGUGAAAUUUCGGAGCUUAACUCCGAAACUGCAUUCGAUACUGCGGUGCUUGAGGACUGGAGAGGAGACUGGAAUUUACGGUGUAGCAGUGAAAUGCGUAGAGAUCGUAAGGAAGACCAGUGGCGAAGGCGGGUCUCUGGACAGUUCCUGAGACUGAGGCACGAAGGCCAGGGGAGCAAACGGG
rnacentral:rRNA from 1 species